ACUGGUGUCAGCCGCCGCGGUAAUACCAGCUCUCCGAGUUGUAGGGAUGAUUAUUGGGCUUAAAGCGUCCGUAGCCGGCUUGGCAAGUCUCCUGUUAAAUUCAGCGACCUAAUCGUUGAGCCGCGGGAGAUACUACUAGGCUAGGAGGCGGGAGAGGCCGACGGUAUUCUCGGGGUAGGGGUGAAAUCCUAUAAUCCCGGGAGGACCACCAGUGGCGAAGGCUGUCGGCUAGAACGCGCUCGACGGUGAGGGACGAAAGCUGGGGGAGCGAACCGGAUUAGAUACCCGGGUAGUCCCAGCUGUAAACGAUGCGGGCUAGGUGUUGGGGUGGCUACGAGCCACUUCAGUGCCGCAGGGAAGCCAUUAA
rnacentral:rRNA from 1 species